rnacentral:rRNA from 1 species
GGAGGGCAUCCUCUUGGGAUUAAAGGAGCGAUCCGGCUGCGGAUGGUCAUGCGGCGCAUUAGCUUGUUGGCGGGGUAACGGCCCACCAAGGCGACGAUGCGUAGGGGUUCUGAGAGGAAGGUCCCCCACACUGGUACUGAGACACGGACCAGACUCCUACGGGAGGCAGCAGUGAGGAAUAUUGGUCAAUGGCCGGGAGGCUGAACCAGCCAAGUCGCGUGAGGGAAGACGGCCCUACGGGUUGUAAACCUCUUUUGCCGGGGAGCAAAUGGCGGGACGCGUCCCGCGUCGAGAGUACCCGGAGAAAAAGCAUCGGCUAACUCCGUGCCAGCAGCCGCGGUAAUACGGAGGAUGCGAGCGUUAUCCGGAUUUAUUGGGUUUAAAGGGUGCGCAGGCGGGAUGUCAAGUCAGCGGUAAAAUCGGGAGGCUCAACCUCUCUCAGCCGUUGAAACUGGCGUUCUUGAGUGGGCGAGAAGUAUGCGGAAUGCGUGGUGUAGCGGUGAAAUGCAUAGAUAUCACGCAGAACCCCGAUUGCGAAGGCAGCAUACCGGCGCCCGACUGACGCUCAUGCACGAAAGCGUGGGUAUCGAACAGGAUUAGAUACCCUGGUAGUCCACGCAGUAAACGAUGAAUAAUCGCUGUGCGGC